UCUGCGGGCGGAGGCGGCGGCUCGCACACGGGGCUACCCCACCUAGGCGCAGCCGCCCGACCCGCUUCUCGCCCCCGCCCUCCACCGACCCGGGCCAGGUGCCUUGCCCCAGGGACAGCCCCAGCGUGCCGGGAGGACUCAGCCCAGCCCAUUCGCAGCGGCUCACGCUGCCCUGCCUAGCCUUUCCCGCAGAACCCCCAGUGGAAGCUCCGGCCCAGGCCUUCCCCGCGCUCCUCCCUGCUCCAGCCCUGGUGCCUCUCCUCCGGGCCUGUCUGGCAUGGCAUGCCUCCUCCUUUCGGAGAAAUUAACAAGGGCAAAGCCCCCUUCAGCCGUGCAGACACUCUGAACGGGAGCCUGUCAGCUUUGAGGGGACGUGGGCUGUGCAGGUUCCUCCCAGCCCGGGGCUACCUCCUCGGUCCUGGACACCAUCUGCACUCUGUCAGCCAGCAUGUCUGUCAUCUUCUUCUCAACGGACUUGAAGCUGCAGAAGGCAAUAGGGACACAGCAGUGAGGGGCACAGCCCCGAGAGCCAUGGUGGGCCACCCAGGAGCCCAGUCCUGAGUUGGGUGCUGUGCCAGAAUCAGGGACUCGGAAGCUCAGGUGUGUGCAAGUGGAGCCCCCUGGCCCCUCUGUGGGACACACAGGCUUGUUGGCAGUGGGUACACUCCCAGCUCCCAGCCUGGCUGCAGCCCGGGGCCUUCGUGAGACUGGGGUGGGUGGCCCGCAGCCCCGGAAGCCCGGGGCACCUGAUGGAGCUAGGCUUCUGGCGGAACUUGAGCACGGCCUCCUCCAGCUCCAGCUGCUUCACCAGGGCCUUCAGCUGCACCCGCCGCUCCUCACAGUCCUCCAUCUGCAGCUCCAGGUUCUCCUCCGUGUUCCUCUGGGCCAGGAAGCGGCUAGCAAUGUCCUGGCCAGUCCGGGGGAGAGAGAAGCAGGUGUGGGCUGGGAAGGUGGGCAGAGGGGGCUUCACAGAACUGGUUUCUUCUGGGCCCCUCCUAGAGGCUAGUGCACUUUCUCUGUGCUCAUUCACAAGUGCGAUCACAGCUCACUGCAGCCUCAACCUCCCAGACUCAAGCGAUCCUCCCACCUCAGCUUCCUGAGUAGCUGGGACCACAGGUGUGCGCCACCACACUUAGCAGGGGUGAAGCGCUUUGUGGAUGUCAUUGCACACGACCCUAAUGGCAGGCAGAGAGAGUAGAUAACCCCAUGUAGAGAUAAGGAGAUCAUCACUGAAGGACGUUGUGUCACUUGAGUCACUUGUCUGACAGUGGACAAGCUUGUGUCAGGGCAGUGGUUGGGAGCUCAAGGCCUAAUAAUAAUAAACGCAGAUACGCAGA